UACGUACUGUGCGAACGUUAUUCGGAAUCACUGGGCUUAAAGGGUGCGUAGGCGGUCGUUUAAGUAGGGUGUGAAAUCCCCCGGCUCAACCGGGGAACUGCGCUCUAAACUGGACGGCUGGAGUGAGAUAGGGGUGUGCGGAACUUCCGGUGGAGCGGUGAAAUGUGUUGAUAUCGGAAGGAACACCAGUAGCGAAAGCGGCACACUGGGUCUUAACUGACGCUGAGGCACGAAAGCUAGGGUAGCGAACGGG
rnacentral:rRNA from 1 species